rnacentral:rRNA from 1 species
CCUACGGGAGGCAGCAGUGGGGGAUAUUGCACAAUGGGGGCAACCCUGAUGCAGCGACGCCGCGUGAGCGAUGGAGUACUUCUGUAUGUAAAGCUCUGUCAGCAGGGAAGAGAAUGACGGUACCUGACCAAGAAGCCCCGGCUCAAUACGUGCCAGCAGCCGCGGUACUACGUAGGGGGCCAGCGUUAUCCGGAUUUACUGGGUGUAAAGGGAGCGUAGGCGGCAGGGCAAGCAUGAUGUGAAAGUACGGGGCUCAACCCCGGGACUGCAGUGGGAACUGCCGCGCUCGAGUGCCGGAGGGGCAGGCGGAAUGCCUGGUGUAGCGGUGAAAUGCGUAGAUAUCACGCAGAACUCCGAUUGCGAAGGCAGCAUACCGGCGCCCAACUGACGCUGAAGCACGAAAGCGUGGGUAUCGAACAGGAUUAGAUACCCUGGUAGUC